CCCGGGGCGUGUGCGUCCCUGACAGAGUCCUGCUGUGGAGAGACUAGCAGAGCCUCACUGCGCUCCACAAGCACAGAGCAGAGGGAGGCUGUGGAGAGAGCAGGACAGCCUCCCUUCCCGUUUGGCCCAGGCUACCAUGUGUUUUAAACACUCAGGUCAAGUGGGGGCGCUACGCAGUCAGGAGUCCAGGUGCAGUCCUGGCUGACUCCGCCCCUUCCAGGUACCCCCUGACCCAGGCCACGCCCAUUCCACCGAGCAGUAAGAUGGCGUUGAGAGCAAUUGGGCGUGCUGGACUCCAAGCAGAUACUGAAACAGAGUUUAUUCGACGUUUUAGUGUUUUUUCCGGCUCAAAAUAAGCAUUCAGAGAUCUACACGCUUAGUUCUCUAGUCGAAGACCUGUUCUGUAGCCGUUUAAAAAAAAAAAAACAGCAGUGAGAAAAAGGAGACGUUUGUCAGGAGACGGCGUCGAACAGAAAACAAAAAGAUCCCAGGGAAUGGUGGUGAUGUGGUCGUUUUGUUCCAGCUGGAGAGCCGUUGCUCUUGCGUGUUGUGUAAACGCACGCCUGGCACUGAUGCGCACACUGCAUGUCAUAACCCCGCUGUGUAUUUGAUACUCAUUCACAGUGCCCAGCCUGUGCUACUUUUGUGAAAUGAAUGCAAAUAAAGCCUUUCCUGUUUCUAUCUGU